AUCAAGCACUAAGGCAAAAUCCCAUUACAUGCCACAACUCCCCAAAAAUCAAUAAAAUUUCAAAAUUCUUGAAAAUUCUGCAGAAUGGCGAGUUUUACCUCCUUUACAUAGUCAGGAUUCUUAGGGACUUGUCGCAUUUUUAGAAUUGCGUGCACUCCAAAUUGAAGUCGAUAACCCUCCCUGUCUGUGCCGAGUCAAUUCAAACAAAAUUCUCAGCGCAGAUUGAAACCCAGAAAGGAACAGUUAACAGACCUGGCUUCCAGACUAGAAAACCAGCUUUGUCACAUGAAUAUGCAACAAAAUCAUCUGGUUUCAUUUAUUUUUUAUUGUCAUUUUUAUUUUUUUCCUUUUUAACAUAAAGCAAUCUUUAGUUUACAGUAGUGCAGCUUUUACUGCUACAUUCUACUGGUUUCUAAUGGAAUUUCAAAACGCUUCCAGGACGUGGGUGUACAAAAUAAGGAGGACUGCAAGUAUAUAAAUCGUUCUAAGGGUUUCGGUUUCGUCAGUCAGACAUCAAGUCAGCCUCAACAUAGAGCACUAGUCAAGCUAAAGAUGAAAUUACACUCGUAACUAUUUAUUCUUGAGAUUAUCACGAUUGUUUUUAUUAGCUUGCAUUUUCGGAUUGUAAUUUUAUUUUAUUUUUCAGCAGAUUCCUGAUUUUAAUUCAGAUGAUCUAUUCGGUUUUUGCUGAUCUUCACCAUCCCAAAGAUGAAGGGUUAGUUCUGACAACAAAGUUCCAGUUAGAACUUUACACGGACUUUUCUAAAUUCGGGUUUAAGAGAAUCAACCAUAGAGGGUUGGAAAAAGCGUUACAACCAGGAAUAUCUCAGUUUAACCCUUUCGCCGUCUUUUUGAGGAUGUGCGAUUCGGCAGUUUUUGGCUUUAGGUUACGGAAUAAUUAAUUAUUCAACCAGACACGCUCGUUGUCUUGUUUUCGCUCCGAAGAAAAUUUAUAUUCGCAACUCAGAAUUCUACUCGUUUUCUGCGUCACCGAUUGCAUCACUGGACUAUUUAACGACAAAUAGACCCACAACCGCGUUCAUGACCCACUCUGCCCCAGCACCCGUCCACAUGACGCCGAGCUACGAUGCUGUAAUAUCAUCACGUUCUGCUGAUUCGCAAACAUCGAAUUAUGCAGCUACUACACCACGUACUGCCGCACCCCAAGCUAUUCCACCAAAAUAACUUGCCGCCAGACUUCACGUCAACAUCCCAUCCUAAGUUUUUCUGUCUAGCGGGUAAAAUUGGCAUGCCAUCCCAUUACGUGAGGCGACGAAUAAAAUGGAAGUGCGCCUAGAAUUAAAACA